rnacentral:rRNA from 1 species
CAGUCGCCGCGGGAAUACAGAGGGUGCGAGCGUUAAUCGGAUUUACUGGGCGUAAAGCGUGCGUAGGCUGCUUCUUAAGUCGGAUGUGAAAUCCCUGAGCUUAACUUAGGAAUUGCAUUCGAUACUGGGAAGCUAGAGUAUGGGAGAGGAUGGUAGAAUUCCAGGUGUAGCGGUGAAAUGCGUAGAGAUCUGGAGGAAUACCGAUGGCGAAGGCAGCCAUCUGGCCUAAUACUGACGCUGAGGUACGAAAGCAUGGGGAGCAAACAGGAUUAGAUACCCGUGUAGUCCCUGUCUCUUAUAC